AUUUGAUAAUAUGGCAGAAUAGUGCAAUGGAUAUAAGCUCCAUAUAUAAAGUAUUUUACUUUUAUUAGAACUAACAA
rnacentral:tRNA from 2 species